rnacentral:rRNA from 1 species
AUUAGAUUUAGUUAUGUUCUUGAAAAUUAAAGGAUUUGGCGGUAUUUUAGACUUUUCAGAGGAAUUUGUCCUGUAAUUGAUAAUCCACGAUUUAAAUUACUUUUUUUUUUAGUUUGUAUAUCGUCAUUAUUGAAAAUUUUUUAAAAAUUAUAAUUUUCAAGAUUUUUUAUUAAAAAAUAAAUUAGAUCAAGAUGUAGUUAAUAAGGAAGUAGAGAUGAGUUACAUUAUGUUUAUAUUAUAAGGAUUUUUAUUAUUAUAGUAAGAGGAAUUUGGAUUUGAAGGUAAUUCCAAUGAUAUAUUAAAUAUGAU